rnacentral:misc_RNA from 1 species
UCUCCGCUUGCGCGGGCAGUCUUUUUAGAGUCCCCACCAUUAUGUGCUGGCAACUAAAAAUAAGGGUUGCGCUCGUUGCGGGACUUAACCCAACACCUCACGGCACGAGCUGACGACAGCCAUGCAGCACCUUGCUCCUUGUCCUUGCGGAACGAUCCGUCUCCGGACCCAUCAAGGGCAUUCUAGCCCAGGUAAGGUUCUUCGCGUUGCGUCGAAUUAAGCCACAUGCUCCACCGCUUGUGCGGGCCCCCGUCAAUUCCUUUGAGUUUCAGCCUUGCGGCCGUACUCCCCAGGCGGGGUGCUUAAUGCGUUAGCUUCGGCACAGAAGACGUCGAUAGCCCCCCACACCUAGCACCCAUCGUUUACGGCUGGGACUAC